rnacentral:lncRNA from 1 species
GGGAGAAAAGCUGCGACCUACCUCUGGAGACGAUACGGACCCCGCGCUCCGCCAGCUCGCGGGGCUCCAGCCCCAGGUCCUUGGAGAUGUUGCCCACGACAGUGCCUUUGUCUGUCUCCUCUGGCACGGAGUAGCGAAUCUGUCCUACGCUGAUCUUGCACAGCGUCCCCAUCAGCGUACACAGCAGCACCAACCGGCCAUGCCUGUGUUGAUUCUUGGAAGCAGCCAUUGUUCAUUUGCAAAAGAAUCCUCUCAGUCUUCACCGGGCAUAGGUGGCUGGAUUACCUUCGCUUGUGGCGACGGAAAUAAUCUUACGGAAAGCUGGAGAGUCACACAUUUAGAGACAGAAUGUCUCCGCAGUUACGCAGUUGGACUCCGGAAUCUGCCGGUCUGAUUUCAUCAGCGUUGAGAAUUUGAUGGGGUUUGGGGUGCAGCUCUCUCCCAGGUAAAGACUCAUUUUGUCUUCUAUCAAGAUGUUAAAGCUCACGAGACAUCGCGGGCUCUGAGCGCACAACUCCUCCCGGUCUAUCCUGCCCGCGGUGACCAGGCUGCCGCUCCGCGGGUUCAGAGAGAAAAGCUGGGUCUUACCUUUGGUGAUGAUGCGGACCCCGCGCUCCGCCAGCUCCCGAGGCUGCAGUCCCAGAUCCUUGGUGAUAUUUCCCACAAAAGAUCCCUUGUCUGUCUCUUCAGACACGGAGUAGAGAAUCUGUCCUGCCCAGGCUUCCCACCGCGUCCCCAUGAGAAUGGAGAGCAGCACAAAUCCUCUGUAGUGCGAGCCCCAGCCUCUCUGUCCAGGCGCCAUUGCUGCCCUGAGGAUCUCGCUCACACCCUGAGAGGUCUUGGAAGGUGCCUCAGAACCCAGUUGUGUCCGCCAGGACCCCAGUGUGCGGAAGGGAAUCCGGGAAUCCAGCCAUUCGCUUUAGUUUGAUGCUGCUUGGUGGAGGACUUGCUUGUCUCAGUCUGUCCUCUCUUUGUGCUGUAAACUCGGUGGUUCUGUCUGAGCUCCGUCACCACCAUCUCAUGGUUGGUGAACAGCGGCGCGCAGAGUCCUUACUAAGUUACUGCAUCAUCUUGAAGCAAAAUUAACUGAUUUUUACAGAAAGAUGUUUAAUUCUUCAAAUUUCUAUUUGCUUAUAUUUCUUCAUCCCAGACACCACGGAUACACUUUAAAGAUACAUUUUAAGGUAUUGACUCUCUGAUAAAUCCAAACAUAUUUUUAAAAUAUCUUUCAGGAAGCAACGCUUAGGUUAUGUUCUUGAGCACAAAUUCUCAUUUUUAAUUAGAGAAAAUUAAGCCUUGUCAGGCAAACAUGUAAACGUUAUUUAAAUCUCUAUUGUAAAACUCUACUGCAAAUAUAUUCCUGUGUAUUAUUUUGUGUUCUCUGUAACAUUUUCUGUUGAUGAAUCAUUUAUUUGGAGUUCUGUUUAGUUUAUUUCUUAUUAAAAAUGUAGGUAUUUAUACUGAC